rnacentral:tRNA from 1 species
GAGAGUAUGGCUCAGCAGUAGAGCGUGUGCUUAGUGUGCACGACGUCCUGGGUUCAAUCCCCAGCACCUCCG